ACGUAGGGGGCGAGCGUUAUUCGGAAUUACUGGGUGUAAAGGGUAUGUAGGCGGCGCUUCAAGUCGCGUGUCAAAGCCCAGUGCUCAACGCUGGGAGUGCGGGUGAUACUGACAGGCUUGAGUACAGUAGAGGUAAGUGGAAUUCCCGGUGUAGCGGUGAAAUGCUUAGAGAUCGGGCAGAACACCAGUGGCGAAGGCAGGUUACUAGACUAUAUCUGACGCUGAGGCACGAAAGCGUGGGGAGCAAACAG
rnacentral:rRNA from 1 species